AGCCUGUGUGUUGCCCGUUCGCUUUCGGAAACUAGUGAACGUGUGUCAAAGGCGCAAAGUAAACACCCUGGCAGCCACGUUUCUGCUUUUGAAAUUCAGUUUCUUUGGCAUCUGAGCUGCAUAAGGAACAGUU
rnacentral:snoRNA from 1 species